CUGCCUAUAUAUUCAGUGACUGCAAACUUGAUUCAGUGAAACCUCCUGUCUACCCUCAAGUUCUAGCUAAAGGAGUAUGGAUUCCUUGUGCUACUGCUGAUGUAACCCUCUUCUCUGUCCCAAGAUCGAGUUGCUCCAGAGCCUGGCACACCAUCACCAGUGUGGUGACCAAGUCCACCCGAAUGCUCAUCUCACCUUGGCCAGGGUUGCAUGCCCAGGCGACACUUGUUAUGUGGUCUCUAGUGGUCAGUGAAGCUCACGCAUUGACGCAAAUCAGCUUUUGAACUCUACCAUUGUCAGGUGAUCGGAACAGGGUUGUGCCGCCGCAGAUGGGCGCCACAGACAGCUUCACCGCCGACCGGGUGACUCACGCUUUCUCCGGCCGAUUCCUCGCGAGCACCGAAGUUUAGAAGAAGUUGUGUUGGAAGGAGGAGUCUACUCCAGUGUAUGCUAAUCAAGUGGAGGAGCCAUCUAACUGGGUAUUUGAUAAAGGGAUCUAGAACCUCUUCACUGCAAUAAGGCAAGCCCGGUGAAUUUGCCCAUUCCUUGUAUUUUUAAAAUACUUUUAUACACUUUAAGUCUAGUGAAAUGUGCACUAAGUUUAUAGGAGUUUCUUGGAAACUAUUUGAUGCAUAGACUACCUUGAUAUCCAUUCCUUUUAUAAAUACUUCUUUAGAAGUAUCAAAUAUUGUUUACAAAAUUGCUUAGCCCUGUCUAGAGGUAAAUCUUGUAGAUAGAGUUUGUCCUUUGCACUAAUGCCUAGCUCAGGAUUUAUCCUGAGGAAGGAUGGCUCUACCUACAAGAAUAUUUUCACCUAGAUCAUGGGGAGAUGUAAUACAAGGUUCCAUGUGAUGUUUUCAUCAUCCUAAGGUACACAAAUAAGUCCGAAGGAUGAAAGUACUUAAAUCGAGACUUGGGCUAGGAACAGGUGAUGUUUUGCCCAAGUUGAUUAAAGAAUACAGGGAAUGUAGGCUUGCUGAUCGAGGCAUAUAUUAACUGGCCACCUGCCCUGGUAUGGGACAGGGUAAGCCUAAUCUCCGCUGGACCAAUAUCAGAACAGCUCGCCCGCACUGGGCAUGGGAGAUGGUGAGAGUAGUGUCUACCCUCCGUGGCAAGAGGCCGGACGGUGGAGUAACUAUGCUCUCGGGUAGCGGGAACCCAUUCUAGUCUUGAGAAACACAGGUGCAGGUUGGCGUAUACAAGGGUUAAGUGUUACAUAUGUCGUGUGGUUAGAGGUCCCUAGCUGGGUAAAUCGAUUCAAAUCACCAUUAUAUCCUCAAACAAUAGAGACUUGAUCACUGCCCUGCAAUCUAAGUCAUGGAUGGAAUCACAAUGAGUAAAAAUAAUGUUGUGUUGAUGAGAUGAUGAGAUUAGACUAGAUACAAACAAGGUCUAUUAAUACUCAAUCUAGCAUUAAAAUGUUGAAAGUAAGGACUCCUUUUAGUAAGCUUUUCUGCAAACUAUUAAAGUUGAUUCUUGCUAAAAGCCUUUCCUUGAUUCCCAAAUCCAGCAUAUCCUUGAGAGUCUUUUUCCUUAGUCAGGUAAGACUUGCGAAAGUACACUCCGUACUCAGGGUUUCCGAACCCAUGAUGUUGCAGGUGAUCAGGAGUAUUCUUGGUGUCCCUGUGGCUAGAAGAUGCUUCUAGUUUUGAAGGAUGAUUAGUUAGGUGUGUUUGUGAGCCUUGGAAGGGUUCUGCCUUCCUGGUUUUGUAAUUAAGUUAUGCAUUUCAAGUUCUAUCAGGACUUGUAAUAAUUCUUUCUAUGUAAUAAAACUUGAGCUUUGGAAAUGUGAAGAAUGUUUGUAAA